rnacentral:tRNA from 1 species
CGAGAUGUAGCUUUUAAAAGUUUAUUACUUACAUUAAUAAGAAGAUUAUUGUAUUAAUCCGUUUUGA